GAAUAUGAUUUGAUUAUCUUGAAUCUAGAGAUGCAAACGGAUCCGAGUUGGUAGAGCUCCCAUUCCGAUCCGUCCCGAAUGAGAUAGUAAACGAGAGGAAAUAAACGAAUUUGGAGCAGAAAACGUGAUAAAUUUUAUAAUCCGAGACGGAUUCAGGACAGAAAACGGAAGAAAUUUUGACCCGUCUCGAAUCUGGCCCACCAUGAUCCACUCCGAAUUCGCCCCGAAAACUAUUUAUAUUUUAAAAAAUAUACCUAAAAAAUAAUAUAUUUAUAAAAAAAUGUUCAAAAUAUAAAUAAAUUAGUGCUUUCAUUUCUCAUGUAUUUGAAACUUCUAAAUUUUGUUUCGAAUUGUGAUUGAUACUUUUAAUUUUUAUAAUUGAUGUUGUUAAUUAUAUAUAUAAUAUUAUUAAAAAAAUUUAAUUUAUAUUUUAAAAAAUAUUAAUAAUAUUAUAAUUUUAUAAAAAAUAUUAGUUGGUGGGACGAAUUCGGGGCGCCGGCGGAAUGCGGGUUACGAGACAGGGCGGAUUAUGGGAUAUAUUUUUUAACCUAUCACGAAUUCGGGGCGGAAGGCGAGGCGGAAUUUUGCUAGUCGGGGCGGCACGCGGGGCGUGGCUCCCGCCCCUAGAUCCCUACUUAAAUCUGAUACUAAUCAUUUUAUACCUAUUAAUAAGUGGUGUACCGGAGGUGCAUUUUUCUUAAAUUCUUAGCUAGCUUUUUUUAUUUGUUUUGACAUAUGAUAGAGAGAGCGGAUCACUCGAACUCUCUUUCGAUCUCUCGAUCAUAAUUUGUACUGCAAUCGGUGUUUUGACUUUGGUGGUAUGAAAGGUAAAGUCGAGUUUAUUGGCAUAAAGAGAUCUGGCGGGAGGUUAGGUUGAAUGGAGUCACGUUUGCAAUGACCAAAGGUUGAGUUGGGUUGAGUCAUGUUCGAAAUAACGGAAUGCUGGAUGGAACGAGUCACAAUCGAGAUCCCGGGCGCUAUAUUUAGAUGUUUUAAAAUUUUAGAUGUAAAUAAAAAAUAAUAAUUAACAUGAAUUUUAAUAUAAAAUAAUAGUAAUUGAAAUGGGGUUAAAAAUAAGAAUUUUUUUUGUAAAUUUAUAAGAAGAAUAUUAAAUACGAAUGAAGGGGAAGGGUGAUGGAGAAAACGACAUUGGAGAUGCCGUAUAGAAACAUUAACUGCUUAAAAGAUUACAAAAAGAAGAAGAAGAAGAAGAUAGAUAGAUUUCUUCUUUAACUGCUUAAAAUAUAUGGAACUAAAUUUCUUCUUUUUAUAUUUACAAAUUUAUCUAUUUUUGGAAGCAAUGUCAAUGUACCCUCUCAACAUCCUAAAUUUCAUAUAUAAUAUAAAAAAAUUUCAAAAACCCCUUGUGGUUUCACCCUUUCUCACCUUAGUAUCCUGUGGUUUAAAGUAUAUCAAAUUAGUACCUUAUGGUUUUGCAUUUUUUAUUUUAAUAUCCUGUGGUUUAAAAUGUAUCAAGUUAGUACCAUGUGUUUUCACACUUUUUCACUUUAGUACCAUGUGGUUUAAUAUUUUAUUAAGAAAAAAAUAAAACCACAGGGUACUAAUUUGAUACAAAAAUAAAAUCACAGAAUAUUAACUUGAUACAAAAAUAAAACCACGAGUACUAACUUGAUACACUUUAAACCACGGUACUAAUGUAAGAAAAUGCGAAACCACAAGAUAUUAACUUGAUACACUUUAAACGAAAAGGUAUUAAAAUGAAAAAGUGCGAAACCUCAUGAAGGUUUUUGAAGUUUUCCCCAUAAUAUAGCCCAUCAAAAAUUUCAAUUUAUAAAUAUAUGUUGUUUUACAAAACUAUAU
rnacentral:lncRNA from 1 species